GCCUGCGUAGCUCAGUUGGCAGAGCGUUUGACUCGUAAUCAAAAGGUCGCCGGUUCGAAUCCGGCCGCAGGCU
rnacentral:tRNA from 1 species